AUACGGAAGGUCCGGGCGUUAUCCGGAUUUAUUGGGUUUAAAGGGAGCGCAGGCGGAGAUGCAAGCGUGACGUCAAAUUUCGGGGCUCAACCCCGUCUCGCGUCGCGAACUGCGUCCCUUGGUUGCGGGAAGGGGAGGCGGAACUCGUGGUGUAGCGGUGAAAUGCAUAGAUAUCACGAAGAACUCCGAUCGCGAAGGCAGCCUUCCGGCCCGUCAACGACGCUCAUGCUCGAAGGUGCGGGUAUCAAACAGAAUUAGAUACCCUGGUAGUCCGCACAGUAAACGAUGGACACCCGCGGUUUGGCCUGUAUGGCUGAGCCGCCAAGCGAAAGCGUUAAGUGUCCCACCUGGGGAGUACGCCGGCAACGGUGAAACUCAAAGGAAUUGACGGGG
rnacentral:rRNA from 1 species